rnacentral:rRNA from 1 species
CAGCUGAUGCAGCGACGCCGCGUGAGGGUGGAGGCCUUCGGGUUGUAAACCUCUUUUGUUUGGGAGCAAGCCUUCGGGUGAGUGUACCUUUCGAAUAAGCGCCGGCUAACUACGUGCCAGCAGCCGCGGUAAUACGUAGGGCGCAAGCGUUAUCCGGAUUUAUUGGGCGUAAAGGGCUCGUAGGCGGCUCGUCGCGUCCGGUGUGAAAGUCCAUCGCUUAACGGUGGAUCUGCGCCGGGUACGGGCGGGCUGGAGUGCGGUAGGGGAGACUGGAAUUCCCGGUGUAACGGUGGAAUGUGUAGAUAUCGGGAAGAACACCGAUGGCGAAGGCAGGUCUCUGGGCCGUCACUGACGCUGAGGAGCGAAAGCGUGGGGAGCGAACAGGAUUAGAUACC